GGAAGAGCUGGGGCAAAAAAAGUGGUAAAUAACUACCAGAAUCAGCACUAUCCAUGAAGGAUUGAGAAACAGGUGAAAGGAAAAUGGAUUUAAAUUUGUACUCCGCUUGAUAGUAGUAGUAUAUUCACCUAAGGGAUUUAAACUCAGGUUUUUUUUUAAAUAUUAAAUUCAUUGUCUUUUGAAUAUUCAAAUAAAGGGAACGGUUGCCAGGGGCCAGGGAAGAGGGGAACAGGAAGUUAGUGUUUAAGGGGUACAUUUCAGUUAGGGAAGACAAAGUUCUGGAUGGUGACAGUCCCAAAACAAUGUGAAUGUACUUAAUGCCACAGAACUGCACGCUUAAAAAUGGUUAAAAUGGAUGUUAUAAUAUGUAUAUUUUACCACAAUAUAAAUAUGGAAAAUCCCAUUAGACUGAAAAUCUUAAGUCACAUACACUAUAGAUCAAACAUUAUUUGUCCUUUCUAAACUAUCAAAUGCAACAACAAAACUAUACUACAAUAUAGAGAAUGAAAUUUCAGUGUGAGAAAGCGAGAUAGGUCAGGGUAAUAACCAAAGCUUCACCACUAUGAGAUCUGUGCAUUGAGCAAAUUAAUAAACUCUGUAAAAUUUGCCUAACCUUCCAAAAAAAGGUGACUUCGGUGGUACUGAAAACUGAAAAAAAGGCCUGGAUGUCUGCGGCAUGAAGAAGCAGCAUAAGAUGAAAAUCAUAGAAGAAAGCAGGAGGUACAUACACACAAUGAAAGUUUAUCAGGUCAGAGAAUUUUGUAUUUUAAGUGCAAUGGGGAAGUCCCUUAAGGGUUUUUUUUAGCGGAUGAAUAAAUAACACGACCUUUAAGAAACCACUCUGGCACUUGUGUGGAGAAUGGACUGGAGGAAUACAACAAAGGAAGCCACAGCCUAGUUAGCAGAUGAUGACAGCUGCGGUGUGAGAUGAUGGCUAGACUAGUGUGCUGACCGAGGAAACGGAGUUCACGAACUUGGGUGUCUUCUGGAGACAGAAUCAGUGGCCUUACGGACAAAUCAGAGGAUAAGAGAGUGGGGAAAAAAAUCAAGACAACCUCCGCUCUUGGCUUUCGGCUCGGAGGAGGCCAAGGUGCGACUUUCUUCAGUCGUCCCGAAUCCGGGUUCAUCCGACACCAGCCGCCUCCACCAUGCCACCGAAGUUCGACCCCAACGAGAUCAAAGUUGUAUACCUGAGGUGCACCGGAGGUGAAGUCGGUGCCACUUCUGCCCUGGCCCCCAAGAUCGGCCCCCUGGGUCUGUCUCCAAAAAAGGUUGGUGAUGACAUUGCCAAGGCAACGGGUGACUGGAAGGGCCUGAGGAUUACAGUGAAACUGACCAUUCAGAACAGACAGGCCCAGAUUGAGGUGGUGCCUUCUGCCUCUGCCCUGAUCAUCAAAGCCCUCAAGGAACCACCAAGAGACAGAAAGAAACAGAAAAACAUUAAACACAGUGGGAGUAUCAUUUUUGAUGAGAUCGUCAACAUUGCUUGACAGAUGCGACACCGAUCCUUAGCCAGGGAACUCUCUGGAACCAUUAAAGAGAUCCUGGGGACUGCCCAGUCUGCGGGCUGUAAUGUUGAUGGCCGCCACCCUCAUGACAUCAUAGAUGACAUCAACAGUGGUGCUGUGGAAUGCCCAGCCAGUUAAGCACAAAGGAAAACAUUUCAAUAAAGGAUCAUUUGACAACUGGUG